AGUCGAAAUCCGCUAAGGAGUGU
rnacentral:ncRNA from 2 species